GCGGGUAUCGUAUAACGGUUCAUACAUUAGUUUUCCAAACUAAGAAUGGGAGUUCGACUCUCCCUACCCGCU
rnacentral:tRNA from 1 species